rnacentral:misc_RNA from 1 species
CGGCGAGACGGGGACGGCUACUGCUACUAUUAUGAUCCUCGGGGAUACCUGCACCCGCGGAUGCAGAUUUUGUAAUGUGAAGACAUCCCGCACUCCCCCUCCACCAGAUCCCAACGAACCUUCUAAUGUUGCAAAAGCUAUUGCAUCAUGGGGUCUUGAUUAUGUAGUUAUUACUAGUGUUGAUCGUGAUGACUUGCCUGACCAAGGAAGCAGUCAUUUUGCUGAAACAGUGCAAAAGCUAAAGGCAGCGAAG